AACACUCACAGCACUGAAGACUAAACCUUCAUUUUAUCCUUCAUCCUUUUAUUGAGGAUGCUCUUAAAGGGUCCCACAAUACAUCAUGUACAUUAAUAUUUUUUGUAGUGGUUUGAGAAUUGUUCUCUGUUUUGCUGUUGAAAUGAAAUUAUUCUUAAUCCUCAGUAUCAGAAGGUCCCCUCCAUGUGCAGAUUUAAUGGUGGUCAUUCAUGGCCAAAAAUGUAAAUGUGCUCCUCGUUACAAGUCUUUUUCCUCUGAGCUUCUUUCCUGUUUGCACUACCAGGUUUUUUUUGUUGUUUUGUUUUGGUGGGUUUUUUUUGGCUUUUAUUUUGUUUUAUUUUGCCA